GGCGCGCUUCCAAUUCCCAAAUUGUGAAUGAAAGAUGUGAUUGGGUCUUGUUCUUCUCUCACUCCGACUCCCUCCACAAGUCCAACGACAUCCUCGCCUCCUCCGGCGACUACCUCCGCCUCUAGGAGGUCAAAGACUCCUCCGUUGAUCGCCUCGAGCCCAUAUCCGUCCUCAACAACACCAAGACCAGCGAAUUCUGUGCGCCGCUGACUUCAUUCGACUGGAACGAGAUCGAGCCUCGGCGAAUCGGAACCUCCAGCAUCGACACCACCUGUACGAUUUGGGACAUCGAGAAGGGAGUCGUUCGGACGCAGCUGAUCGCUCACGAUAAGGAGGUUUACGACAUUGCGUGGGGCGAAGCUAGGGUUUUCGCCUCCGUCUCCGCCGACGGGUCGGUGAGGAUUUUUGAUCUCCGACUCGUACCCAUCGACUCUGACUCCGACUCAGAUCUUCUCCUCUGCUCCUAUUGCCUUUUCCACUGCUCCUAUUUUCAAGGACCAGAAGAAGGAUCGACAAAUAAACGAUUGGCUUUUCGUAUUUCUGGAUCUGAUGGUGAUGUGCAGGUGAGGAAGAAGCUUUAUGUGCCACAAGUGGAGGACAAGAAUAGUCACAUGAGAAUGCUCAACAUCUCGUGUUGAUGAUCUGGUUGCGAAUUUGAUGGAUAUUUUAAAAGCGGCUGCGGUGGAUGCCGAUGGAAAUGAAUGCGAAGACUGUAUUUUACAGGCAAGGUGAUGAAGUUGAUUUGUUCCUCUAACCAGCAAAUCAUGCUCAAGUGAGGGAGGCAGAUCAAGCAGAAACACAAGCAAUGCAACUUGCAGAGUGAGUUGAUGGCUGCGAAGUCUAUUGGAGCUCAGCAAUGAGGAGUUAGAGAUAGUCAAAGCUGGUGCAGUUCAAAAAAUGAAGAGUUAGAGGCAGUGAAGGCUAGAGCCGCUGCACAAAAUGAAGAGUUGGAGGCACUAAAGGCAAGAAAAAAUCAUACCGACAUACUUUUACUUAAAUUGAUGGUGCUGUUAUCCUCCCAAAACUGAUGAUUGGUCUAAGAUUAAAAAAAGUACAUCUUGCAAACUAUCAUUGAAGGCCGCCUUAUUGAGCUUCUAGAAAGACUUGUAUGUAUUUCCAUUUAUUUUGAAAUUGCUAUUAAGGAUGGAUUGACAUUUGUAUAUUUUGGAUUUGCAAAUUUAAUUAGUAUUUCAGGAUAGAGAUACAUGUCUUAUAUUGUAUUGGAAUUGAAUAGUUUAA